ensembl:lincRNA
AGAGGUUUUUAUUUCCAUGACAUUUUUCUUGAUAUUCAGACUAAAUUUUUAGAAUAUCCGUAGUCUUUCCUUUCCUGUAGGCCUUCUUUCAGUGAUGGAUAAGAAAGGAGUCAGCUUCCAGGACCGAUGGUCUCGUGAGGAUGCUGCUGUGCUCCUUCGGGUUGCUCCCAUGUACAUGGUGACUAAAAGUUAAGCUUUAUGAGAACAGAAAUCCUUCCUUUUUUGUUCAUGGGUGGAUUUGAGCAUCUGUAAUGGAACCAGGGACAUAUUAUGCAUUUAGUAAAUAUUUAUUAUUAGAACAUUUAUAUAAUUUUUCUAAGUUAGUAUUAUAUCUAUUAAGACUCUUACAUUGUACAUGUUUUUGAUUUUAUUCCUAGGAGCAAUAACGAUGGUGCCCCUUCAGGAAUGGUGCCCCAGUGAAGUGUUUUCAACAAUAACUCAAAUACUCAGCAAACACUAUGCUUUCACUGAUGUGAAGAACUAUAUAAAGACUACAACAAUGAAUACAUUAUGGAGGGUUAAAUACGUCAUCUUACUGAAAUCUGAAGACAACUGGAUACUACUCAGUAGUGCCUGCGUCAAGUCUGAUGAAAUGCUAGUCAAAGUGGGAGUUUGAUAUUUAUUCCCCAGAGUGAGCAACUAAUUUUGGAAUAUACAAUCAUGCUAAGGGAAAUGCUUCCAGAGGAGAAUAUUUUUCUUUUUUUUUUUUUGGUUUUUCUCCGGUACCGGGAACUGAACUCACGACCUUGCACUUGCCAGGCAGGCACUUUGCCGCUGAGCUAAAUCCCCAGCCCCUGAGCUAAAUCCCCAGCCCCAAGAGGAGAAUAUUUUUCAAUAACCUUAAUAUCUCUAAAAUAUUAGACUUGCUGGAACAAAUAUAAGAAUGUUUAUUAUUAUAAACAAAUAUGGGCGCCAUCAUAAGAAUGUGUUCUGCUAUUGAUUACUACUAUUGAUACAUAUUGCAAGGAAACACUGAUAAUGAUUUCCACCUGAACUUGUUUACAAAAUAGUAAAUAUAUUCUCUAGGAAGUCAGAAAUACAUAGAAAAGAAUAAAGAACAAAGUAAAAAUGGCAAUUUAUAAAUCCACCAUCUGUUUUAAAAAUGAUCAUGUUUGAAUUUUACUCUUUUCCUUUUGGUCACUAUGUGUGUGUCUCUGUGCAUGCUUGUGUAAUUUUGUGUAAUUAUUUUUCUUUUAGUAACCUAUGUUAACCUAUGUGACAGCUUUGUUUCACUAUGGACUGUUUGGCAUGGUAUGAGAACACUAGAAUUUCACAGAGUUUCAAAGCUCAACCUUUGAAUUCUGACAUCCUGGAAUGAAGUCCUAGUUCCCUUUCUAGCUAUGCAUUCUGGCAAAUUAAAGGGGUCUUCUAAAGCUCAGAUUAUUUACAUGGAAAUAGUAACAACUAUCUUGCAGAUUCAAAUGGAUUGAUCCAUGUGACAUAUUUCAUUCAGAAGAUAUUACAUUUAUUUAUUUUCAAUAGCUACUUGGUAAGCCAUCAGUAUUACAGGCUGUAUUUUUUUUUUUUUUUCCUCCGGUACCGGGAACUGAACUCACAACCUUGCGCCUGCCAGGCAGGCAUUUUUGCCGCUGAGCUAAAUCCCCAGCCCCUACAGGCUGUAUUUAAACAAAUAUCCUAUAGAAUCUCAGAAAAUUCUUCUAUAAAUUAGAGAAGACUAUGUCAGUACACUCAUUUUCAAAAGACGGAUUCUUUAGUAGCCAUUUAUGUAUGGCAGUUAAAGUAUGAAAAGAGAAAUUAAAGAGUAAAUUAAUUAAACAACUGAAAUAAGGGAAUAGCUUAUGAAAAAUUAUUAAACUAUAAAUCUUCACUUUAAUGGGUUGACUAUCUUCUAUAUUCCAUUUACAAUUUUUAAGAAAAUAUAUACUGUCUAGUGCAACAACAGUUUGUCUCUUUAGUAGUGUAUUUUUAAUCUGAAUUCACAGUGUAUGUUCAAGGUUUUCAUUUGUUUAUUAAACUUGUGUUGAUAAAAAAUUUAACAGACUAAUGGAGCGUAAAACAUUGUUUAAAGUUGUCUUGCUAGGCUAACACAGAGGUUAAUAUUUUACUGACUUGCAUGUUUUCCUGUCCAUGCUUAC